rnacentral:tmRNA from 1 species
GGGGACGUUUUGGCUUUUGACAGAAUGUUCGGUGAAAACAGGCUGCGAGUCCGUGAGCUGUUCACGGUUAUCAACGAGCAAACAAAUUAGAUGCUGAAAACAACAUCGUAGAGCCUAAAGUUGCGCUCUGGGGUACUGCCCCAGUGCCAAUGGCUGUUUAGGCAGCCGGCCGCUGUGUACGCCCUGCUUGCCGGUGUACAUGGCAAUUAUGCAAGCUGCAGUGCGCUGAUGAGGGUAUGCGUAUCAAGUUAACCCUUAAAGGUUUUGUAUUUCCGAAAAAAAUACUUUGGUUAAACCAACGGUAGUGAUAUUUUCCGGGUUUAAUCGAGAUAAUAAUAUCUACACUCGUAGAAGCAUGUUUUAAUCCAUUUUGGACGCGGGUUCGACUCCCGCCGUCUCCAUUA